UCCCACCAUUAAUGAGCAUUAUUCAGAAUGAUGCCUCUGGGAGUAUUGUACAUUUGGGUGUUUCUUGCGAUGGUUGUGGGUCCCAUCCCAUAACUGGACCUAGGUUCAAGUCAAAAGUGUAAGAACUAAGACAGUGACCUUACUAACUUUCUGAUGAAUAUCUACAGAAUCUUUAUAUGUUAAACUGAUCAGUCUUUUAUUGCAGAAAAUAUAACUAUGAUCUGUGCCAAAUCUGUUUUCUUAAAAUGGGAAAUGUUUCUGAUUAUAUUAGAAUUGCUCAUGAGGGGGAUCAUCAGUACCCCACGUCUAUCAAGGAAUUGUAUGGCCAUGUAUGUAAAAUUCAUUGUCCUGUUUGUUUCUUUAUUAAGCAUUUAUCAUAUCUUUUAUUUGUUAAAUUUUAUUGCUCCUGUCUACUCUUAACACAGCAUGCUAAGGACCGGGUGAUCUUCAGUGGUUGCAAUGAUAGAAUGGGUAUAGCAAAGCUAGACAGUCGCUUCAUUCAGGAUGUGAAUAUUUUCGAUGAAACUGUGAUGGCCCCUUUGACUCCAUUUACCAAGAUUUGGCGGAUGGGGAACAUUGGUGCAUCGGCGUGGCCCCAAAAAACACAACUUGUUUGGACUGGGGGAGACAGAUUAAGUAAUGCAUUUCCGGUUGAAGUAGAGGUUGGUUAUCACCAUUUUUUUUUUUUGGAUGCAAGGGCUUAAUGUGUACCCCCCACCCCCCGGGUGUUUCUAGUGAAAAUUCUGCAAUUGAUUUUGGAUAUCUCUUGGGCUUUUGAUUUGUCUCUAAAACCCUUAAGUUAUUCUGUGGCAUACAGUAGAAAAUUGCUAGAUGCUGAGACUUCUCUGUUUUAUUCUUUCCUUUGUUAGUUACAAUUUUAGAAUUUGAAUUUUGCAACUAUGUAUUCAUUUUGUGUCAUGAAAUCUCUCACAGCUUUUCUUUUCCUUUUUAUGAUACAUGCUUUCUAAAUUAUUGCUUCUAAUAUUUGCCUUAGAUUAACUUUCUGGAUUUUUUUUAUGAUUUUUAUUCAUUUGCCCAAUCUCAAAGAGCAUCUUCAAUGAACCUAACCUCCCUUAUUAGGCCUUUUCAAUUAUUUUACUUUUAACUCCCCAUGUUUGUUCUAACUAUCAUGAUCCUAAGUUCUAAUUCUUUCUUGAUGAUCUUAGACAAAUAUACUUAGAAGAAUGUCUUGUAUGGGUAUGUUUAUAAAACACACAGAGAGAGGUUUCAUUUUGUUAUUGCUCAUUUUGAAUAUGUGUCUCUGCUAGCAACUUUGACCGAGGUCAAAAUUAUGUGCUCAAGUGAUAUGCAUUUAAAUCUGGAUGAGAAAUAAUUAUAGCAAUAGGCCUGCUAGUAUGAAGCUUGUAAAUACAUGGGUCUGCAAGCUAUAUCUAGUAUAGAUGUUUGUAUAGGGCCGAUCUACUUUUUAGCAUUUGUUAGUUAUUUUUCUACAUCUGUUAUUCAUUAUACUAUCUUUCCCCACUCAGUCCCUAUGUCAUCUGAGUUUUUUUUCUCCCUAAUGUUGUUGUGGCAACAUUUCUACAGGCAAAGUACGGGGACAUGCUCAGGCGGUUCAAUGCCCAAAUUGUUGACAAGGAACUGUAUCUUAAUUUUGAUGGACUGAGAGAGAAGAUCUGUUCAUUAUUCAAUUUUGUUCCUGAUACUGAGUUCACACUUACCUAUAUUGAUGAAGAUGGUGAUGUGGUGACGAUUGUUAAUGAUGAUGAUCUGCAUGAUGUGGUAAGGCAGGCCCUGAACCCCUUAAGGAUUACUGUGAAGGUGAACACUGAGCAGAAUGGCAGAGAAUAUGCUCGUUCAAGUGGGAGUUCAACUCCCUUGAGAUUGCCUAGAGUUCAGCAACCCUUCCGAAAGCUGAACGCAAACGUCUCUGAAAUUUUGAAAUCUGUGCCAGAGCCUCUAUGUGAAACUCUCUUGAAGCUUUCAACUGAGUUGUCAUCUAAAACCUCCUCCUCUGCACCAGGUAUUGCCGAGCUUGCUGUAUACUUCUCAAAGAUAGGUUUGUCCUACCUAGAUCAGCUUUCAGAGUCCAAAUCUGAAGUGCAGUCUUGUACACCAAGCGAGGUUCCUGAAAGCUCCUCAGCCGCAAGAGAAACCAAAGAUUUGAAUUCCUCCAAGCCUGAAGAGUGUUCUUUGAGAAUCAAUGAGGGCUUGCCAAAAUUUAAACCUGGGGGAGCCUUGGGAAACAAUGAGCUGAAACCGGGAAAUACAAUUGCAAGUAGCACAGACCCCUUACCUUUGGAAGUACCUGGCCUCAAAGCUGUAGAUGCAGCAAUUGGCUCUCUGAAUUUUGAUGUUGGAUACCCCAACAAUGAAUCUCUGCACGAAUCAUCACACCUGGAUCCUAAACCAAGGGUUGUGGCUGCUACUGUUGAUAAGAAGAAAAAGUUGAAGAAGAUUAUUCAAUGUUACGAAGAGGCUCCUUUGGCAUCAUCUAGUCCGCCACUUGUUGCAAAUGAUGUUCCUAUUCAAAAGGGGGUUGAUAAGCCUAGUGAGCCUCAGGUUGGACCAAAGCCUUCUAAUGUGGGUUCUUCCACUGGUAAUGCUGAUCCUACGAAAUGGGGCCAUCCAGUUGGUGGGAUAAAUUAUUUAGUAGAGAGUGGUUCUGAGAACUCUCCAGUCUCACAGUUUGGUCGUGGUUCUCUUAACAAGUCUCCACUUUUUGGAAUGCCUCUACGAAAUGAUUCAGCUGCCCCCCCAUAUUCCAGCAUCCCACCAUUAAUGAGCAUUAUUCAGAAUGAUGCCUCUGGGAGUAUUGUACAUUUGGGUGUUUCUUGCGAUGGUUGUGGGUCCCAUCCCAUAACUGGACCUAGGUUCAAGUCAAAAGUGUAAGAACUAAGACAGUGACCUUACUAACUUUCUGAUGAAUAUCUACAGAAUCUUUAUAUGUUAAACUGAUCAGUCUUUUAUUGCAGAAAAUAUAACUAUGAUCUGUGCCAAAUCUGUUUUCUUAAAAUGGGAAAUGUUUCUGAUUAUAUUAGAAUUGCUCAUGAGGGGGAUCAUCAGUACCCCACGUCUAUCAAGGAAUUGUAUGGCCAUGUAUGUAAAAUUCAUUGUCCUGUUUGUUUCUUUAUUAAGCAUUUAUCAUAUCUUUUAUUUGUUAAAUUUUAUUGCUCCUGUCUACUCUUAACACAGCAUGCUAAGGACCGGGUGAUCUUCAGUGGUUGCAAUGAUAGAAUGGGUAUAGCAAAGCUAGACAGUCGCUUCAUUCAGGAUGUGAAUAUUUUCGAUGAAACUGUGAUGGCCCCUUUGACUCCAUUUACCAAGAUUUGGCGGAUGGGGAACAUUGGUGCAUCGGCGUGGCCCCAAAAAACACAACUUGUUUGGACUGGGGGAGACAGAUUAAGUAAUGCAUUUCCGGUUGAAGUAGAGGUUGGUUAUCACCAUUUUUUUUUUUGUGCAUGGUUUCUAAUACCAGUUUGUGUAUAAUCAUCUCUUUUAUAUGGUCAGAUUCUUGUAUAAUUUUACACGUGUAUAGCAUUUGGUUUUUUUUGGCGUUUCUCAUAUUUUCUUCUACGUCUUUUUCUUCUAAAUGGUAGCAACUUGUUUGGUUAUGCUUCAUUUUCCGUUUCUACUUUUUGAUACUACUAAUUCUUAUUUCUUUUUGUCUGCAGUGAAGGAUGACACCUUGUCUUUGCAUGUAUCUUCUAUUAGUAUUAGUAGAUUUUUAUAAUAAUUAUCAUCAAAAGAAAAGAUUAAUCCUCGUGAUUUUUUUUCCAUCGCUAGAUUC
rnacentral:lncRNA from 1 species